GACAGAGGUGCCAAGCGUUAGGCGGAAUCACUGGGCUUAAAGCGUGUGUAGGCGGAUCGUUAAGUACCUUGUGAAAUCCCACGGCUUAACCGUGGAACGGCUGGGUAUACUGGCGAUCUUGAGCCACCUAGGGGCGAGCGGAACAAAUGGUGGAGCGGUGAAAUGCGUAGAUAUCAUUUGGAACGCCAACGGUGAAAACAGCUCGCUGGGGGUGUGCUGACGCUGAGACACGAAAGCCAGGGGAGCGAACGGG
rnacentral:rRNA from 1 species